CUCUUAUCCAGAGAGGCGGAGGGACCGGCCCUGUGAAGCCUCGACAACCUGAUUACCCUGGGUGUGGUUUGAAAAGGGUAUUCGAAGGUGCCAAUUCCGGCAGAUCGAAAUUCUGGAAGAUGAGAG
rnacentral:ncRNA from 2 species